GCCUCCUUAGUUUAAUGGGAGAACAUAACACUGAAGAUGUUAGGACGGUGGGUCGAUACCACCAGGUGGCA
rfam:Pseudocohnilembus persalinus scaffold1358, whole genome shotgun sequence.